rnacentral:rRNA from 1 species
UACGUAGGUCGCAAGCGUUGUCCGGAUUUACUGGGCGUAAAGAGCGCGCAGGCGGCUGGUCAAGUCCGAUGUGAAAUCUCCCGGCUCAACUGGGAAACUGCAUCGGAAACUGAUCGGCUUGAAGAUGGGAGAGGGUAGUGGAAUUCCCGGUGUAGUGGUGAAAUGCGUAGAUAUCGGGAGGAACACCAGUGGCGAAGGCGACUACCUGGCCCAUUCUUGACGCUGAGGCGCGAAGGCCAGGGGAGCAAACGGG